UACGAAGGAUCCAAGCGUUAUCCGGAUUUAUUGGGUUUAAAGGGUGCGUAGGUGGGCUAUUAAGUCAGUGGUGAAAGCUUCCCGCUUAACGGGAAAAUUGCCAUUGAUACUGAUGGUCUUGAGUGCAUUUGAAGUGGGCGGAAUGUGUCGUGUAGUGGUGAAAUACUUAGAUAUGACACAGAACACCGAUUGCGAAGGCAGCUCACUAAACUGUAACUGACACUGAGGCACGAAAGCGUGGGGAUCAAACAGG
rnacentral:rRNA from 1 species